rnacentral:rRNA from 1 species
AUUGAACGCUGGCGGCAUGCCUUACACAUGCAAGUCGAACGGACCCUUCGGGGUUAGUGGCGGACGGGUGAGUAACACGUGGGAACGUGCCUUUAGGUUCGGAAUAGCUCCUGGAAACGGGUGGUAAUGCCGAAUGUGCCCUUCGGGGGAAAGAUUUAUCGCCUUUAGAGCGGCCCGCGUCUGAUUAGCUAGUUGGUGAGGUAACGGCUCACCAAGGCGACGAUCAGUAGCUGGUCUGAGAGGAUGACCAGCCACACUGGGACUGAGACACGGCCCAGACUCCUACGGGAGGCAGCAGUGGGGAAUCUUGCGCAAUGGGCGAAAGCCUGACGCAGCCGUGCCGCGUGAAUGAUGAAGGUCUUAGGAUUGUAAAAUUCUUUCACCGGGGACGAUAAUGACGGUACCCGGAGAAGAAGCCCCGGCUAACUUCGUGCCAGCAGCCGCCGUAA